CAGGGGGUACUGGUACAGAGUCAAUGUGGAGGCUAUAUACAGGGGGUACUGGUACAGAGUCAAUGUGGAGGCUAUAUACAGGGGGUACCGGUACAGAGUCAAUGUGGAGGCUAUAUACAGGGGUACUGGUACAGAGUCAAUGUGGAGGCUAUAUACAGGGGGUACUGGUACAGAGUCAAUGUGGAGGCUAUAUACAGGAGGUACUGGUACAGAGUCAAUGUGGAGGCUAUAUACAGGGGUACCGGUACAGAGUCAAUGUGGAGGCUAUAUAAGUAAUAUGUACAUGUAGGUGGAGUUGUUAAAGUGACUAUGCAUAGAUAAUAACAGAGUAGCAGCAGCAUAGAAGAGGGGGGGGGAGACAAUGCAAAUAGUCUGUAAAGCCAUUUGAUAAAAUUUUCAGGAGUCUUAUGUCUUGGGGGUAGAAGCUGU
rnacentral:lncRNA from 1 species